rnacentral:lncRNA from 1 species
UAUGCCGGAGACUCUAGCUAGGCCAUGGUUCACAUGAACGUAGGAGGAGUAUCUUUUACUAUAAUGAAAGGGCAGGUGGUGAGGAGUUCUGCAUAAGGUCCUUUCCAGCAAGGGGAGGGUACUCAUCACAUGAGAAGUAUUAUCUCCUGGGGGGCAGACAGAGAGCCCGUCCCUCAGCACACCAGAGCAUCAUCUCCUGUGGGAGGUCAGAGAAUCUGUCUGUCAGCCCAUGAGAAGCAUCAACUCCAGGGGGAGGUCAGAGAGUCUGUUCCUUGUCUGCUUUUGCUCAGUCCUUUAAAAGAGACUUUAGUUCCUCUAAAGUAGCAAGCAUUGUUUUAAGACAUUGCUUGCGUGGCGCAGUGCAUGUUGGAACUGUGUACAAUGAGGCCAAAGAACAACAGACUUGGCUUGGAAUUUCUCUCUUGGAUCACAGUUAUAGAUUAUACAACUUGUCACAAAGCAUCCCUGAAAAAUGAAGCAAGACGAAUAAUAGUUCAAUGAAGAGCAGCCAUCCCACUUUCAUCUCCCACAGUGACCUCAUAUCAGUAUCUUUCUCAUCUUUUGCACUAGAUAUUUGAGAGAUCAAAGUGAAUAAGAAGUAAUAAGUGCUUGGAUACUAAUUAAUUCUCUGCAAUGCGAGUGUUGUGUUUUAAACACUCCUUCUUUGGGAGCCUUCUUGAGUCCAGUGGACUACCCCAGACUCUAUUAGUCUUCCUUUUGAUUCGAUGUUGCUUGACUGUGGAUUUUAGGGCACCCC